CAGAAUAUAGUGUAAAUAAACAUAUUCAUUUUGGGGAUGAAAGAUAUUGGUUUAAAUCCAUUUAUUUUGA
rnacentral:tRNA from 1 species